GGGCCCGUGGUCUAGUGGUUAUGACAUCGCCCUUACAAGGCGAGGAUCACCGGUUCAAAUCCGGUCGGGCCCA
rnacentral:tRNA from 1 species